GCUGUCAGCUCAGAGCCCGACACGAGGCUCGAGCCCAUGAACCGUGAGAUCAUGACCUGAGCCAAAGUGAGACGCUCAACUGACUGAGCCACCCAAGCGCCCUUCUCAAAGUUUCUUGUUCUGAUUUAUCUCCCUUUUUUUUUUUGUAUUUUCUUUAACUUAUUUUUUUAAUUUACAUCCAAGUUAGUUAGCAUAUAGUGCAACAAUGAUUUCAGGAGUAGAUUCCUUGGUGCCCCUUUACCCAUUUAGCCCAUCCCCCCUCCCACAACCCCUCCAGUAACCCUCUGUUUGUUCUCUGUAUUUAAAAAUCCCUUAUGUUUUGUCCCACUCCCUGUUUUUAUAUAAUUUUUGCUUCCCUUCCCUUAUGUUCAUCUGUUUUGUCUCUUAAAGUCCUCAUAUGAGUGAAGUCAUAUGACACUUGUCUUUCUCUGACUAAUGUCACUUAGCAUAAUACCCUCCAGUUCCAUCCACGUAGUUGCAAAUGGCCUUUUUUUUUUUUUAAUUUUUUAAUGUUUGUUUUAUUUUUGAGAGAGAGAACGUGUGUGCACAAGCAGGGGAGGGGCAGAGAAAGGGAGACAGAGGAUCCGAAGCAGGCUCCGUGCUGACAGCAGAGGAGCCCAACGCAGGGCUCGAACUCAUGGACCGCGAGAUCAUGACCUGAGCCCAAGCUGGGUGCUUAACCCUGACUGAGCCACCCGGGCGCCCCAAUCUCCCUUUUUCUCGUCUGCCUCUCCGCUGGAAUCUACGCCCCCUGAGGGGAGGGCCUCUCUGUCUUUCCUUCCACCGUCUCCCCAGCCCCAGAGCUGGGCCUAGCCCUGGACAGUCGGGUACUCCCUGUAGCUGUCACCAACCGUGAGGCCCGCCUCGGGAUGAAGGUCUUGGUGUCUGUUCCCGUCCGCACUUCUCUGGAGGCAGCUUUGCGGGUAUGAACGCACUUCAGAUUCCCAAAGCACUUUCAAAUAAAUGCACUGCCUCGUUGGUACCUCAUCUCACAACUCAAACCCAUUGUUCCACUGGGUCAUGUUACAGAUGUGCGUAUAUUCAGACUCACUGCAUUGGGGUGUGGGGCGGUAGCACUCUAAUCUCCCAGAUUCUCGUAGGCUCUGGGUUGUUCUAGGACUCUGUUGAUGCAGGUGUUACCUUUAGGUCUCAGCCAGGGAAACUCUAAAACGCUUGCUCUCUUCCAUGGCUGGGACAUCCCACUUUCUCUUCUGCUCUGGGGCCUUGGAAUUAGAGCAGGACCUCUAAAUAGCACAGAGUACUUAGGACUUAGCAUUCUGCCCUCUCAGGUUCACGGAUAUUCGUCGGCAAGUGAGGCUUGGAGGCGAAGGGACCCAGCCUCCAGGAAAGUGGCGAAGGCCGGUCUAGAACUCCGCUGCAGAACCCUCCGGUCGGACUCCAAGCCGAGGGCCCGGCUCACCACGCGCAUCUGUAUGCGGAUUCACUUCCAGCUGCCUGGGGGGUGGAGCUCUUCAUGGUCUAAAUUGUUAAAAUCGUAAUGGCAUCUUUAGGUGCCUUUAUUAAGCUCAUUAAGGGCUUAUGAGGUCUUGCCCUGGCUUUCCGCUGGAUCCUGCAGCGGGAGAGGGAGGCGAGGCUCCCAGCUGUGCCCAUGUGAUGGCGUGCAUGGAAACUCCUCAAAGGACAGCAGAGAUCCAUACUGACUGGGAACUCGGCAAAGAUAAGCCCGCGUGGGUGUGCAGGGACACAUAGGCACCGUCUGGAAGGAUGUGCUUCAGAAUGCCAGCAGGGCCAUGGGGCGCCUGGGUGGCUCAGGAGGUUAAGCAUCUGACCCUUGGUUUCGGCUCGGGUCAUGAUCUCACGGCUUCGUGGGUUCGAGCCCCACAUCGGGUUCCUCCGCGCUGAGGGUGCAGAGCCUGCCCGGGAGUCUCUGCCUCCUUCUCUCUCUGCCCCUCCCCCACUCACAUUGUCUCUGUCUCUCUCAAAAUAAAUAAACUUAAAAAAAAAAAAAGAAGAAGAAUGUCAAUAGUGGCGUCCCUGGGGAUGGCCUUCUGAGUGAUCUUUCAGUCUCUUCUUUAUGUUUUUUGGAACUGUCUGAAUUUUUUUUUUUUUUUAUAAUGAGCAAGCAUUUCCUUUAUAAUCAGAAAAAGAAAUAAAUAGAGUCAUUUUCAUCUUGAAAAGGAAUUGAAGACAGCCCCUGAAUAGAAAUAAAGGAAGGGGAAGAGUGCUUAUGAAGUGCGUGAUCGGUGUUUUCAGUCGGAUCACUCAGGGGGACGUCCCGCAGCGCUCCUCUUUCUCAGGAUCCCGGUGAUUAACGUCACAAGCCCUUCCCGGAGACGGUGCAGCGAGACGCUGGAGGAGAACCGAGAAGUGAGACGUCAAGAGCCCAAGCAGAAGAGGGGCAGAGAGAGGACAGAAGAUCCAAAGUGGGCUCCACACCGACAGCAGCAAGUCCGAUGGGCUCGAACUCAUGAACGGUGAGAUCAGAACCUGAGCCAAAGUCGGAUGCUCAACCGACUGAGCCACCCAGGCACCCCUCACAAGUGUUUUUAAAGAAAUACAUAGUCAUUUCACAAAAAUGAAAUGUCAUAUAUGGUAGGACAAAAUUAAAUAUUAUAAACCAGAAAAAUUGUUUAUGGUUCUGCAUAGAUAUAAAAAUAUUAUCAAAACAUUCAUAUUAUCCCUUCAAAUAAAAAAAUAAAAUUAAACAUUCUUUAAAAAAUAAUUUAAGAAAAAGAAAAUGGUCAGUUUAAUGGUCAGUUUUAAG